rnacentral:rRNA from 1 species
UACGUAGGGUGCAAGCGUUGUCCGGAAUUAUUGGGCGUAAAGAGCUCGUAGGCGGUCUGUCGCGUCUGCUGUGAAAACUCAGGGCUUAACCCUGAGCUUGCAGUGGGUACGGGCAGAUUAGAGUGCGGUAGGGGAGACUGGAAUUCCUGGUGUAGCGGUGAAAUGCGCAGAUAUCAGGAGGAACACCGGUGGCGAAGGCGGGUCUCUGGGCCGUAACUGACGCUGAGGAGCGAAAGCAUGGGGAGCGAACAGG